ensembl:lncRNA
CGCUGGUGAUCCCGGCAGAUGGGCGCCCUCUCCCGUCUCUCAGAGACCACUCAGUCCAGUCAAGUCUGCAAAUCGGUUAACUUGGGGGCUCUGGCGGUCGAAGUGGCGUUAACUCGCGUUGGUGCGAGAGGUCGCGACGCUUUUCAUUAUACGCUUCUGUGUUUCUGGGCUGAGGGCUCAGAGCCAGAGUGCUGGCUUGUGUCCUUCCUAGCCGUCCCGCCUGCCCCGAGUGUUGCGGAGAGUUUCUGAGAGAGAGCCCCUGAGGAGGGGAGCGGGCGCUUUCGCGGGCUCACACGGAGGGGCUGGGUAGGGAGAGGAGCCGCGCGGGCCGGGGCGGCGGAGAGGCCGGACCGAAGUCGUCAGUGGACACCGCCACCCCUCGGUCGGACCUCGAAGUGGACCUGCGCGCUCACCUGAAUUUCAUUGAAAUCUCUUGCUGGCCAAUGAUCAACUCUUUCCAAGCUGAGUGUUCUUUACUGUUAUACAGGACUAUCAUGAAGAUGCAUUGAAAGUUACACAGCACUGGAGGAGUGUGAUAUCCCUUUCAGUUGGUAAUCUUUCUGUCAUGAAAGUUGCUUGCCAGCUUUACUUUUGAAUGAACACAGUAAACACUAAGGUGAAAAUAUUAAUGAAAAAAUCUACUCUCCAUACUGUGUAUAUUUCCCUAUAUGUUCUGAACCUGCUUAUAGCCACCUACCACAGUAGUCUGUAGUUUCUGUUUGCCAAACUAUAAAAGUCUUAGUUAAAAUCCUAUAUUUUUUCUACUGUUCUACCUUGACUUUCCCUUCAGCUCUUGCUUCUCAGGAUUGAGAUAUGGAAAGAUCCUUCUGUCCUUUACCACACAGUUCCUUUGUCAAGAAUUCCAGGAUGUCCUCCAAGUUUGCAAAUGUUGCCAGAUACCAGAUAUCAGCAAGGUUUCUGAUGAACUGGCUUAAAGCAGGAUAACACAAACUAAAGUAACCGGCAGCAGGAG